rnacentral:rRNA from 1 species
AUUGAACGCUGGCGGCAUGCCUUACACAUGCAAGUCGAACGGCAGCACGGGUGCUUGCACCUGGUGGCGAGUGGCGAACGGGUGAGUAAUACAUCGGAACAUGUCCUGUAGUGGGGGAUAGCCCGGCGAAAGCCGGAUUAAUACCGCAUACGAUCUACGGAUGACAGCGGGGGACCUUCGGGCCUCGCGCUAUAGGGUUGGCCGAUGGCUGAUUAGCUAGUUGGUGGGGUAAAGGCCUACCAAGGCGACGAUCAGUAGCUGGUCUGAGAGGACGACCAGCCACACUGGGACUGAGACACGGCCAAGACUCCUACGGGAGGCAGCAGUGGGGAAUUUUGGACAAUGGGCGAAAGCCUGAUCCAGCAAUGCCGCGUGUGUGAAGAAGGCCUUCGGGUUGUAAAGCACUUUUGUCCGGAAAGAAAUCCUUGGCCCUAAUACGGUCGGGGGAUGACGGUACCGGAAGAAUAAGCACCGGCUAACUACGUG